rnacentral:Y_RNA from 1 species
GGCUGGUCCAAAGGUAGUGAGUUAUCUCAGUUGAUUGUUCACAGACAGAUACAGAUUGAAUUCCUGUUCUACUCUUUCCUACUUUCUCACUACUGCACAUGACUAGUCUUUA